AGUGAACGCUGGCGGUAGGCCUAACACAUGCAAGUCGAACGGCAGCACAGUAAGAGCUUGCUCUUACGGGUGGCGAGUGGCGGACGGGUGAGGAAUACAUCGGAAUCUACUUUUUCGUGGGGGAUAACGUAGGGAAACUUACGCUAAUACCGCAUACGACCUACGGGUGAAAGCAGGGGAUCUUCGGACCUUGCGCGAUUGAAUGAGCCGAUGUCGGAUUAGCUAGUUGGCGGGGUAAAGGCCCACCAAGGCGACGAUCCGUAGCUGGUCUGAGAGGAUGAUCAGCCACACUGGAACUGAGACACGGUCCAGACUCCUACGGGAGGCAGCAGUGGGGAAUAUUGGACAAUGGGCGCAAGCCUGAUCCAGCCGUACCGCGUGGGUGAAGAAGGCCUUCGGGUUGUAAAGCCCUUUUGUUGGGAAAGAAAAGCAGCAGGUUAAUACCCCGCUGUUCUGACGGUACCCAAGAAUAAGCACCGGCUAACUUCGUG
rnacentral:rRNA from 1 species